CGAAGGCAAGGAGGUAUAGUGUUUGGCUUACUGGGAAUGCCAUAAGCUAGAACUUGAGAACCAUUGGGGAGGAUCAGAAAUAAGACUGCACCGGGAAGGGCCAUGUAUGACCUUGGAAAGCCAUUCAUCUUGCCCUUCAGAGGAUGCGAUCGUCUUGGGCUAUUCUCCAUAAAUUGUGCUAACUGAGGGUAGUGAACAUGUCAGGUUCCUGAAGCGAUGCAUUCACAGCCCUUUGUGUGCAGCCAUCAGUGAUGGAAGAAAAAUGAUCUGCACUGACUGUGUUAACUCACAAAUAGUUAUGGGUCCCCAUGUCUGCAGGUGUGAAGGAAGACAGUCCUGACCUCUCGCUACUUGCAAUUGUUGAACAACGCAAAAAUUAUUCAGGUGACUACUUAAAAUGCAUUUCAGUGCCUAGUGAAUCAUGUAGUAAUCGUAAAAGUUCAGGAAAAGCCAGUGAGAACUGGAAGGUCGGGGCAUUAAACCAGGAGGCAUGGGAUUUGUAUUCGGCUAUAGAGGAAAAUGGGAUUUAAAUAGGUGAAAAGAGCCUUGUUUGCAACCCAGUUAAGGGGGAUGAUGAAAGCGAAGAGGCAGAGGAGGGUCAGGGGCUAGGACAUUCUGGCUGAAGAAGAGGGGUGAUGUUGAGAAUGGGUUGUAGUGGGGAUGGGGUGAUAUGGACCAGGUCUCUGCAAGUGAAGGAGGAGUAAGAGCUGGGGAUUAUCGUAGGCCAGUUAUGUGCCAGACUCUUCAUCUAAAGCGGGGGACCCCAGGCUCCAGAAUCUGGUAAUCUGAGGUGGAGCUGAGUGAUAAUAAUGGAAGUAAAGUGCACAAUAAAUGCAGAGUGCUUGAAUCAUCUCAAAACCAUCCCUCUGAUCCAGGUCCAUGGAAGAAUUGUCUUCCACGAAACUGGUCCCUGGUGCCAAAAAAGUUGGGGACCACUGAUCUAAAGGAUCUCAGCAACACUGUGGAACAGGUAUUUUUACCUCCAUUUUAAAGACAAGGAAACUGAGUCUCAGAGGAGACAUAUGACGUAUUCAAGUAACACAGCUGAUAAUUUGACGUUCUAGACUGCCUGGUUCUUUCUGCUGAACCACUCCCUUUCUUUAAGACACCCGUGGGAAGGUAGUGAAAGGUGUUUGAGCCAGACUGGGUGCAUCUGUGAACACACACACACGGUCACUGGGGGACCCAUUCACACCACACGUGGCACAUCCUCAGCUAUCUCCUGAUCUCAUUAGGACAGUGGGACAUUUGUCAUUUAGGAAACCUUUGCCUUUCUCUUUAGCCAGAGCCAUCUGAGGCUCUAGUCCUCCAUUUAGGCAUUAGUAGAAGUAUGGAAAGGGAAAAAAGAAAUGUGAUGCUUGAAACAAAAUACCCCAUCGAGCUGACCACUAAAUAGCACUUAGACCCCAAGUAUACACACAGCUGCUUUAUGUAAUGAAGGCUGUGGACCAUGUUCCUGGAUAUAAAAUAACAAACCACAUAUAACGUUUUACAUAGCUGUGUAAUUAGCACGGAUCUGUGAGUGUGUGAGCCGACCAGGGUGAGGGAAGGGGGGCUCAAGCCCCUAGUGCAGUGAGCUGGAAGGAAGAACAUGUGCUGUUGGACCAAGAAGAUGGGGCUUUGAAUCCUUGCUGCCCACGUGGCAGCACUAAGACCUUGGGCAAUUUAUUUAAACUCUGCAAACUUCCAGUUUCAUAUCUGUCAAUAGGUGUAAAAGUAUAUGCCUUAUUGCAAAUGGUUUGGCCCUUCUUGCCCCUAGAGGAACAUUUGGCAAUAUCUGAAGAUAUUUUUGGUUAUCAUAAUUGGGAAGGUGCCACUGGCAUCUAGUAGGCAGAGCCUGGGGUGCUGUUAAACAUCCUACAAUGCACAGGAUGGUCUUCCCAGGUGGCCAGUGUUAAGAACCCACCUGUCAAUCCCUGAGUCGGGAAGAUCCCCUGCAGAAGGAAAUGACAACCCACUCCAAUAUUCUUGCCUGGGAAAUCCCAUGGAUAGAGGAGCCUGGUGGGCUAUGGUCCUUAGGGGGUUACAAACAGCUGGACAUGACUAAGCAACUAAAUGACAACAAAAAAUUAUAUCUAAAUAUUUCCAUUAAUAAUUCCUGGUAAAGGCUGAAUCACAGUUUGAGAAAUGCUGAUUGUCUGAACCCUGAUGAUUCGAACAGUGAUGAUUCAGACAUUAGCUCCUGAGUGUGUAUUGGUGAUUUGAUCAUGAUUGCAUUUUUUAUUGUGCUUAAAUACAUAUAACAAAAUUUACCAUCUUUUAGUACAUGGUUCUAUAGCAGUAAGUACAGAUGACCCUUAAACAAUGUAGAGCUUAGGGGUGCCACCCCUCUAUGCAGUUGAAAAUCUGAGUAUAAUAUCGGUCCUUUAUCCAUGGCUCCACAUUCAGGGAUCCAGCCAACAGCAGAUCAUGUGGUAUUGCAGUAUUUACUACGGAAAAAGUCCUGCAUAUAGGUGGAUCUGAGCAGUUCAAAUCCUCAUUGUUUGGUGGUCAACUGUAUAUUCAUAGGGUUGUGCAACCAGUCUCCAGAACUCUUUUCCUCUUGGCAAAACAGAAACUCUGUAUCCAUUAAAGGGCAACUCCAUUCUUCCCUCCCUCCAGCCUUUGUCAGCUGACAUUCUACUUUGUCUCUCUGAAUUUGAUUAUUCUAGAUACCUAGGGCUUCCCUGGUUGCUCAGCUGGUAAAGAAUCCGCCUAUAAUGCAGGAGACUGGUUUGAUUCCUGAGUAGGGAAGAUCCUCUGCAAAAGGGAUAGGCUACCCACUCCAGUAUUCUUGGGCUUUCCUGGUGGCUCAGACAGUAAAGAAUCCACCUGCAAUGCAGGAGAUCUAGCUUUGAUCCCUGGGUUGGGAAGAUCCCCUGGAGGAGGGCAUGGCAACCACUCAAGUAUUCUUGCCUGGAGAAUCCCUCAUGGACAGAGGAGCCACAGUCCAUGAGGCCGCAAAGAGUUUGAUGCGACUUAACAACUAAGUAACAAAAACAACAAGCCAAGAGGCCUUUCAAAGUGGGUCAAAGGUUGGGCUUCAUUAGAAUGAGAGGCCCAGACUGACAUAAGAUGUUACUGAGAUUGUCAACAAGGACUCAAGCAGAGUGAAGAGUGGGUUAAGUGGG
ensembl:lncRNA